rnacentral:tRNA from 1 species
GUCUUCGUGGCUCAGUUGGCUAGAGCGUUGGUCUCAUAUUCAUGUGACCCAAUCAAACAUUGGGAUAUCCAAAGGUCGUGAGUUCGAGCCUCACCGAGGACA